CCCACGGGUUCGGCUCGCCCCGCCCACCGGCCGCGCCCCGCCCACCCCGCCGGCUCCUGCGGCGCCGCCGGGGUUUCCGAGUCCCGGCGGCUCCAGCGCAGUUCCGGAGUGGAGGGAGGAAGUCCAAUCCCGGCUGCCGGGCUCCCCGCCUCUCCCCCUACGCUCGCGGGGGGCGCCGCGGCCCCUCUUCUCUCCAACGCCCCUGCGGGGAGACAGCCCGGAGAGCAGCAGGAGGAAGAGGAGGCGAUGGUGAAAAAGACAUCUUGUUGUCCCAGCUGCAGUUUGCCGAGCUAGGGCAUUUAUCUUAGGGGGGACAGAAUGCACCCCAGGAAAUCCACGUGUGUUUGGAAUAACACGGCACUUAAAAUAACAAGAAACGUUUUUACAAAUAACCAAAAAACAGCGUUAAAAGCUAAAAAUUAUUUUCCGAAUUUUUUAAACGCUGAGCGUACGUUUUCCGUGAUCUCACGAGGGAUCCCUCGGAGCUGCUGAAGAAGCGGCGAUGUUGUAGGACCCUGCGGCAAGGUUCACACCAAACUCAACACCGGACGCCCCUCGUGGGCACAGAAGAUGCCGAUAUUAGGGCUCCCCUGCAGGUCCCCUACCCAGGAACGAAACCAGGCACGCUGGUUCUUAGAGAAUUGAAAAGCUGGGAAGUAUGGAGUAGGUGAUAGUAAAGAAAAGCUAUAGCGAAUUUGCAGGUAGGGCUUUAAAAGUAUUUCCUCAAAGCGUGGUAGAAAUAGACACGUGGACGCUGGCCUUGAACAGCUGAGGGGGACUCCGAGGCGUCUCCUCAAGGAAGCAGUUAAAUCCAACAUCCUAGAAAGAGAGGGAAAGAAACUCCAACAUGACCCUCGGGUUUUGACAAAGGGACCCCUGACAACAUGUGACUUAAUUAGGACAAAACUGAAGUAAAGCUCCCACAAGAUUCCUGGGAACUGAGUAGAACUGCUUCACUGGAGGCCAAGGAAUCUGUCUGUAGAGGAUCAGAAACCCAUAUCUGACCCAGCAUGUGAGAAGCCAGGAAUAGUUGCCGGCACCCACCCCCGACGGUCAGAUGCGCUGCCAGGCCCUGGAACUGCGGACAUGAGUGGAACAGGGUUCCCUGCCCUGAAGGACUCAGAUUAGAUCCAUCACCCGCGUUCCAUGGGCUUCAAAGAAGGCAGACCUGGAUUCCAAAUUCUGCUUCCCCAUUUCCCAGCCAUGAGACCACAGCUCUGGAGGCUGGGCAGUCCAAGAUGAUGAUGCCUACAGAUGUGGAGGAUUGGAGUCCUGCUUCGUGGAUGGCAGUCUUUUCACUGUGUUCUCACUUGGCAGAAAGAGCAAGGGGGUUUCCUGGGGUCUCUUUUGUAAGGUCACUAAUCCCAUUCAUGAGGGCUCUACCUUCAUGACCUGCUCACCUCCCAAAAGCCCCACCUCCUAAAAGCAACACAUUGGGGAAUAGGUGUCAACAUAUGAACAGGGGGGUGGGGGGCAACAGAAACAUUCAGUCUAUAGCAUUGUGUUUUUGAAUUAGAUUGCAAGUUCCUUUGUAUUACCGUAAUUAUUCUUAUGGGAUAAACAAAGAUCGAAAAAACAUACAAAGUGUACUGCUUUGCUAGGGCUGCCAUAACAAGAUACCACAGACGGGUGGCUUUGACACAGGAGCGAAGGGGUCAGAACACAACCUCUAAAACAAUGACAUAGCCCUUGAGGAUACAGCAAAAACUGGUUAGAACCAACUAGGUCCAAGAUGGCGGAAGGCUUGACUUCCAGUAGAUUAUGAGCCUCACUGUGCGCUCACUCUAAUAUUAUACGUUAGCUAAAUGACACACCCACAGGCGCCAUGACAGUUCUGAGGCCGACCAUAAAAGGCCAAAAAGUGGGCGGUGGCCCAAUUCCCGGAAAUCCCCACCCCUUCCCCGAAAUAGUUGGAAUAAUCCCCCCACUCAUUAGCCUGUGAAAUUACCCAGCCUAUAAAAACUAACCACCCCGUAUUUCAGGGACCCUCGCCUUCUGAGACAGACCGCAUUCUGUCUCUGGCCUGUGUCUCUCUCUAAAGAAAUCCACUUCUUACCUAUCACUUUGUCUCUCACUGAAUUCUUUCUGCAGUGAAACAUAAAGAACCUGAGCUUCAUUAAGUCCUGAGGCCAGGUGUGUGAUCUCAAUGAAAAGACAGUGGGUUCAGGUCCCAAUCUGGGUUCUGGCCAGGUUUGAGUCCCGGCCCAUGGGUUCAAGUCACAAUCUGAGUUGUGUGGUUUCAGCUUAACCAACAUAAAUUUUUUUCUCAUGGUUUUGGGGCUGGAAGUCCAAGGUCAAGGUGCUUGGAAGUUUGGUUUCUGGUGAGAUUUCUCCCUUGACUUGCAGGUGGCCGCCUUCCCGCUCUGUCCUCAAACGGCCCCUUCCCUGUGGGAUCGCAUCCCUGGUGUCCCUUCCUUUUCUCAUAAGGACGCCAGUAAUAUUGGGUUAGGGCCCAACCAUAUGAUGUCAUUUAACCUUAAUUACCUCUUUAAAAGUGUUGUCUCCAAAUACAGUCCCAUUCUGAGGUGUAGCAGGGGUCAGGACUUCAACAUAUGAAUUUUGGGUGUACACACUUCCAUCCGUAACACAUGGUAAAAACAGUACAAAAGGAUACACAUUGAAAACUACAUCUCGCAUCCACCCUGCCUUCAGUCCUGUGUCCUCAAAUGCACGUUAUCAUUCAGAUUUUACGUGCCUCUGAAUGUAAGGCUUUUUGUUUGGUUUUUUGUAUUUUUUUUUUUUUUGGCUACGUUGAGUCUUCGUUGCUGCGC